AUUGAACGCUGGCGGCAGGCCUAACACAUGCAAGUCGAACGAGUGGCGGACGGGUGAGUAAUGUCUGGGAAACUGCCUGAUGGAGGGGGAUAACUACUGGAAACGGUAGCUAAUACCGCAUACCAUCAGAUGUGCCCAUAUGGGAUUAGCUUGUUGGUGGGGUAAAGGCUCACCAAGGCGACGAUCCCUAGCUGGUCUGAGAGGAUGACCAGCCACACUGGGACUGAGACACGGUCCAGACUCCUACGGGAGGCAGCAGUGGGGAAUAUUGGACAAUGGGGGCAAGCCUGAUGCAGCCAUGCCGCGUGUAUGAAGAAGGCCUUCGGGUUGUAAAGUACUUUUAGCGGGGAGGCGGUACCCGCAGAAGAAGCACCGGCUAACUCCGUGCCAGCAGCCGCGGUAAUUC
rnacentral:rRNA from 1 species